UUCGUAGACAACAGUUAUGCUGCAGCUGCAGGAAGAAGAAGAUUAUUGCGGUUAAGCAGCCAACAGUAUUUAUCUUGCAUUAAUAUUUGACCCGGUCAGGAAACUGGAGAGACAUGCCCUACAGAUAUCUGCAUGUUUUCUUUCUCUCUCUUAUAUGUAGCGACAUGGGGAUAUCAUUCCCGGAUUUUCCUGGAUACGGACGUUUGGAAUAUUUCUUGGAUACAAUUCAACAUGAAGGAAAAAGGGAAAAAAUCAUAUAAAA